UACGUAGGUGGCAAGCGUUGUCCGGAUUUAUUGGGUUUAAAGGGUGCGUAGGCGGCCCUGUAAGUCAGUGGUGAAAUACUCUAGCUUAACUGGAGGGGUGCCAUUGAUACUGCAGGGCUUGAGUACAGACGAGGUAGGCGGAAUUGACGGUGUAGCGGUGAAAUGCAUAGAUAUCGUCAAGAACUCCGAUAGUGAAGACAGCUUACUAGGCUGUAACUGACGCUGAGGCACGAAAGUGUGGGGAUCAAACAGG
rnacentral:rRNA from 1 species